rnacentral:rRNA from 1 species
GAUGAACGCUGGCGGCGUGCCUAAUACAUGCAAGUCGAGCGAACAGAUAAGGAGCUUGCUCCUUUGAAGUUAGCGGCGGACGGGUGAGUAACACGUGGGUAACCUACCUAUAAGACUGGGAUAACUUCGGGAAACCGGAGCUAAUACCGGAUAACAUUUAGAACCGCAUGGUUCUAAAGUGAAAGAUGGUUUUGCUAUCACUUAUAGAUGGACCCGCGCCGUAUUAGCUAGUUGGUAAGGUAACGGCUUACCAAGGCGACGAUACGUAGCCGACCUGAGAGGGUGAUCGGCCACACUGGAACUGAGACACGGUCCAGACUCCUACGGGAGGCAGCAGUAGGGAAUCUUCCGCAAUGGGCGAAAGCCUGACGGAGCAACGCCGCGUGAGUGAUGAAGGGUUUCGGCUCGUAAAACUCUGUUAUUAGGGAAGAACAAAUGCGUAAGUAACUGUGCACAUCUUGACGGUACCUAAUCAGAAAGCCACGGCUAACUACGUG